rnacentral:rRNA from 1 species
GACGAACGCUGGCGGCGUGCUUAACACAUGCAAGUCGAACGGAAAGGCCCUGCUUGCAUGGUACUCUAGUGGCGAACGGGUGAGUAACACGUGGGUGAUCUCCCCUGCACUUCUGGAUAAGCUUGGGAAACUGGGUCUAAUACCCGAUAGGAGCCAUCUUUAGUGUGGUGGUUGGUAAGUUUUUUCGGUGUAGGAUGAGCUGGCGGCCUAUCAGCUUGUUGGUGGGGUAAUGGCCUACCAAGGCGGCGACGGGUAGCCGGCCUGAGAGGGUGUACGGCCACAUUGGGUCUGAGAUAAGGCCCAGAUUGCUAAGGGGGGAAGAAGUGGGGAAGAUUGCACAAAGGGCGCAAGGUUGAUGCAGCGAGGCCGCGGGGGGGAAGAAGGCCUUAGGGGUGGAAAAGCGCUUCGAGAGGGAAGAAGCUUUUUGUGACGGUACCUAGAGAAGAAGCACCGGCUAACUACGUG